GCCUUAGUAACGGCGAGUGAAGCGGCAAAAGCUCAAAUUUGAAAUCUGGUACCUUCGGUGCCCGAGUUGUAAUUUGGAGAGGGCAACUUUGGGGCCGUUCCUUGUCUAUGUUCCUUGGAACAGGACGUCAUAGAGGGUGAGAAUCCCGUGUGGCGAGGAGUGCGGUUCUUUGUAAAGUGCCUUCGAAGAGUCGAGUUGUUUGGGAAUGCAGCUCUAAGUGGGUGGUAAAUUCCAUCUAAAGCUAAAUAUUGGCGAGAGACCGAUAGCGAACAAGUACAGUGAUGGAAAGAUGAAAAGAACUUUGAAAAGAGAGUGAAAAAGUACGUGAAAUUGUUGAAAGGGAAGGGCAUUUGAUCAGACAUGGUGUUUUGUGCCCUCUGCUCCUUGUGGGUAGGGGAAUCUCGCAUUUCACUGGGCCAGCAUCAGUUUUGGUGGCAGGAUAAAUCCAUAGGAAUGUAGCUUGCCUCGGUAAGUAUUAUAGCCUGUGGGAAUACUGCCAGCUGGGACUGAGGACUGCGAC
rnacentral:rRNA from 1 species